CAGCCCUUGACAUGUCCUCUAUGGAUUCCAGAGCGGAGUCCUUCACUUCGGGUGGGAGGAACACAGGUGCUGCAUGGCUGUCGUCAGCUCGUGUCGUGAGAUGUUGGGUUAAGUCCCGCAACGAGCGCAACCCUCGCCNUUAGUUGCCAUCAUUUAGUUGGGCACUCUAAGGGGACUGCCGGUGAUAAGCCGGAGGAAGGUGGGGAUGACGUCAAGUCCUCAUGGCCCUUACGGGCUGGGCUACACACGUGCUACAAUGGCGGUGACAGAGGGAUGCAAAGGGGCGACCCUUCGCAAAUCUCAAAAAUCCGUCUCAGUUCGGAUUGGGGUCUGCAACUCGACCCCAUGAAGUUGGAAUCGCUAGUAAUCGCAGAUCAGCACGCUGCGGUGAAUACGUUCCCGGGCCUUGUACACACCGCCCGUCACACCAUGGGAGUUGGCUUUACCUGAAGACGGUGCGCUAACCGCAAGGAGGCAGCCGGCCACGGUAGGGUCAGCGACUGGGGUG
rnacentral:rRNA from 1 species